CCGGGUCUUUGGACAGAAGCCACAGUGGGGUCUGCUGUCCACCGUCCACCCGCAGGCAGCGUCUCCCUGGCCUCCGCUUCUCCUCGAAGCAUGGCUUCUGUUCCCAAGGACCUCGCCGCCCCUCCCCAGCUGCCUGCCCUGUGCUUUAUCUUCUAGUUCUUUCCUCCUGCUGGGCCAGGCUCCGAGUUCCCAGCUGGGACACUCAGCGUGGACACCGGAUGUCUGCCUGGGCUUCAUGAGUUAAGGUGACCCAUCCAGCCCCUCUGAGGGGUGACGUCCUGGGCUACCUGGUGAGCAUUCAGCAGAUCCCGGGGUGGAGCAGGUCAGCCCUGUAGCAUCAAGAGCGGGAACCUGCUGUCGGCCACAACAAACAGCACUGCCUCGUGGUCACUGUCCCUUCCUCCUUACUCAGGCGGGGCUGGCGCCCCGAGAGCCUCCCCACAAGCACACACAGCAAUACUCCUUGCAACCGUGGAACAGAGCAGCUGCAGAACCCAGAGAGGCUCACAGCUGCCAAACCGAAUGGAGGUGCCUGAGUAGGACCCUCCCCAAAUGUACCGCGCCCCCUGCAGCUUCUGUGGCACCCAAUUUGCACCCGCUCCUGCGGUGUCUUUGUGCCGUGUAAUCGUCCUCAUGUUCUAUGUAAGAAGGUUGUGAUUAUGUAGGGUUGUUUUCCUUAUCUUUACUCAGAAUGUUAGUUCGGAAUAGAAGGCGUCAUUUUGUUCUUGUCGUAAUGGUUUAUUACAGAGGUAUUUCUUUUGAAAUGUCGCAGAAAUGUUCCUGGCUCUGUGUUAGUUUGAUGACAUCCAAUUUUCAGGGCAUCAUUAUCGCUCCUCCUAGAUUCCUUUACCUUCCAUGGGCUCUACAGACUCACCGCCUCGAUAUUUCUAGGAUUGACAUUCAUCCACUGUGUACACAACACCAAUGUUCCGGAUAGAAUGCCGAUAUUGUAUCUCAGUCACUGAACAUUACACUUCAAUUAAUCUGGGGUAAGACAUUGAUCUAUUUUUGCGGACUGGGAAUAUCACGCCAACCCAUUACAAAGAGCUUCUACGGUGAACUUAAAUGCAAAUGAAACAUACAGAUUUAUAAAAAUACAUUAGCUGAUAUUAAUCUACCCUGAUCAUGAAAUGUUAGCUGAAAAUAAAACCUCAAGCCAUCUGGUCUCUGUGAUGCUUACAUAA